CAGCCGCCACGGGAAAACGGAGGGUGCAAGCGUUAAUCGGAAUUACUGGGCGUAAAGCGUGCGUAGGUGGUGGUUUAAGUCCGUUGUGAAAGCCCUGGGCUCAACCUGGGAAUUGCAGUGGAUACUGGGUCACUAGAGUGUGGUAGAGGAUAGUGGAAUUUCCGGUGUAGCAGUGAAAUGCGUAGAGAUCGGAAGGAACAUCUGUGGCGAAGGCGACUAUCUGGGCCAACACUGACACUGAGGCACGAAAGCGUGGGGAGCAAACAGGAUUAGAUACCCCAGUAGUCCCUGUCUCUUAUAC
rnacentral:rRNA from 1 species